CCUACGGGAGGCAGCAGUGGGGAAUAUUGGACAUUGGGGGCAACCCUGAUCCAGCCAUGCCGCGUGUGUGAAGAAGGCCCUCGGGUUGUAAAGCACUUUCAGUGAGGAAGAACGCCUGGUGGUUAAUACCCAUCAGGAAAGACAUCACUCACAGAAGAAGCACCGGCUAACUCCGUGCCAGCAGCCGCGGUAAUACGGAGGGUGCGAGCGUUAAUCGGAAUUACUGGGCGUAAAGCGCGCGUAGGUGGCUUGAUAAGCCGGUUGUGAAAGCCCCGGGCUCAACCUGGGAACGGCAUCCGGAACUGUCAAGCUAGAGUGCAGGAGAGGAAGGUAGAAUUCCCGGUGUAGCGGUGAAAUGCGUAGAGAUCGGGAGGAAUACCAGUGGCGAAGGCGGCCUUCUGGACUGACACUGACACUGAGGUGCGAAAGCGUGGGUAGCAAACAGGAUUAGAUACCCUAGUAGUC
rnacentral:rRNA from 1 species